GACGAACGCUGGCGGCGUGCUUAACACAUGCAAGUCGAGCGGUAAGGCCCUUUCGGGGUACGACGAGCGGCGAACGGGUGAGUAACACGUGGGUGACCUGCCCUCAGCUCUGGGAGUAAGCCUGGGAAACGUGGGUCGUAAUACCGGAUAUGACUCCAUGACGCAUGUUGUGGGGUGGAAAGCCUUGUGCGGCUGAGGAUGGGCCCGCGGCCUAUCAGCUUGUUGGUGGGGUGAUGGCCUACCAAGGCGACGACGGGUAGCCGGCCUGAGAGGGCGACCGGCCACACUGGGACUGAGACACGGCCCAGACUCCUACGGGAGGCAGCAGUGGGGAAUCUUGCGCAAUGGGCGAAAGCCUGACGCAGCGACGCCGCGUGAGGGAUGACGGCCU
rnacentral:rRNA from 1 species